rnacentral:rRNA from 1 species
GACGAACGCUGGCGGCGUGCUUAACACAUGCAAGUCGAACGGAAAGGCCCUGCUUUUGUGGGGUGCUCGAGUGGCGAACGGGUGAGUAACACGUGAGUAACCUGCCCUUAACUUUGGGAUAACUUCAGGAAACUGGGGCUAAUACCGGAUAGGAGCUCCUGCUGCAUGGUGGGGGUUGGAAAGUUUCGGCGGUUGGGGAUGGACUCGCGGCUUAUCAGCUUGUUGGUGGGGUAGUGGCUUACCAAGGCUUUGACGGGUAGCCGGCCUGAGAGGGUGACCGGCCACAUUGGGACUGAGAUACGGCCCAGACUCCUACGGGAGGCAGCAGUGGGGAAUAUUGCACAAUGGGCGGAAGCCUGAUGCAGCAACGCCGCGUGCGGGAUGACGGCCUUCGGGUUGUAAACCGCUUUCGCCUGUGACGAAGCGUGAGUGACGGUAAUGGGUAAAGAAACACCGGCUAACUACGU